GACGAACGCUGGCGGCGUGCUUAACACAUGCAAGUCGAGCGGAAAGGCCCUUCGGGGUACUCGAGCGGCGAACGGGUGAGUAACGCGUGAGUAACCUGCCCCAGACUUUGGGAUAACCCCCGGAAACGGGGGCUAAUACCGGAUACGACACAGCUUCGCAUGGGGUCUGUGUGGAAAGUUUUUCGGUUUGGGAUGGGCUCGCGGCCUAUCAGCUUGUUGGUGGGGUGAUGGCCUACCAAGGCGACGACGGGUAGCCGGCCUGAGAGGGCGACCGGCCACACUGGGACUGAGACAGGGACCAGAGUCCUACGGGAGGCAGAAGUGGGGAAUAUUGCACAAUGGGCGGAAGCCUGAUGCGGCGACGCCGCGUGAGGGAUGACGGCCUUCGGGUUGUAAACCUCUUUCAGCAGGGACGAAGCGUAAGUGACGGUACCUGCAGAAGAAGCGCCGGCCAACUACGUG
rnacentral:rRNA from 1 species